rnacentral:rRNA from 1 species
CGGCGAUGUCCGAAUGGGGAAACCCAGUGCAAUUCGUUGCACUAUCGUUAACUGAAUACAUAGGUUAACGAGGCGAACCGGGGGAACUGAAACAUCUAAGUACCCCGAGGAAAAGAAAUCAACCGAGAUUCCCCCAGUAGCGGCGAGCGAACGGGGAGCAGCCCAGAGUCUGAAUCAGCUUGUGUGUUAGUGGAACGGUCUGGAAAGUCCGACGGUACAGGGUGAUAGUCCCGUACACCAAAAUGCACAGGCUGUGAACUCGAAGAGUAGGGCGGGACACGUGGUAUCCUGUCUGAAUAUGGGGGGACCAUCCUCCAAGGCUAAAUACUCCUGACUGACCGAUAGUGAACCAGUACCGUGAGGGAAAGGCGAAAAGAACCCCGGCGAGGGGAGUGAAAAAGAACCUGAAACCGUGUACGUACAAGCAGUGGGAGCACCUUCGGGUGUGACUGCGUACCUUUUGUAUAAUGGGUCAGCGACUUAUAUUCUGUAGCAAGGUUAACCGUAUAGGGGAGCCGCAGGGAAACCGAGUCUUAACUGGGCGUUAAGUUGCAGGGUAUAGACCCGAAACCCGGUGAUCUAGCCAUGGGCAGGUUGAAGGUUGGGUAACACUAACUGGAGGACCGAACCGACUAAUGUUGAAAAAUUAGCGGAUGACUUGUGGCUGGGGGUGAAAGGCCAAUCAAACCGGGAGAUAGCUGGUUCUCCCCGAAAGCUAUUUAGGUAGCGCCUCGUGAAUUCAUCUUCGGGGGUAGAGCACUGUUUCGGCUAGGGGGUCAUCCCGACUUACCAACCCGAUGCAAACUACGAAUACCGAAGAAUGUUAUCACGGGAGACACACGGCGGGUGCUAACGUCCGUCGUGAAGAGGGAAACAACCCAGACCGCCAGCUAAGGUCCCAAAGUCAUGGUUAAGUGGGAAACGAUGUGGGAAGGCACAGACAGCCAGGAUGUUGGCUUAGAAGCAGCCAUCAUUUAAAGAAAGCGUAAUAGCUCACUGGUCGAGUCGGCCUGCGCGGAAGAUGUAACGGGGCUAAACCAUGCACCGAAGCUGCGGCAGCGACACUAUGUGUUGUUGGGUAGGGGAGCGUUCUGUAAGCCUGCGAAGGUGUGCUGUGAGGCAUGCUGGAGGUAUCAGAAGUGCGAAUGCUGACAUAAGUAACGAUAAAGCGGGUGAAAAGCCCGCUCGCCGGAAGACCAAGGGUUCCUGUCCAACGUUAAUCGGGGCAGGGUGAGUCGACCCCUAAGGCGAGGCCGAAAGGCGUAGUCGAUGGGAAACAGGUUAAUAUUCCUGUACUUGGUGUUACUGCGAAGGGGGGACGGAGAAGGCUAUGUUAGCCGGGCGACGGUUGUCCCGGUUUAAGCAUGUAGGCUGAUUGUCCAGGCAAAUCCGGAUAAUCAAGGCUGAGGUGUGAUGACGAGGCACUACGGUGCUGAAGUAACAAAUGCCCUGCUUCCAGGAAAAGCCUCUAAGCAUCAGGUAACAUCAAAUCGUACCCCAAACCGACACAGGUGGUCAGGUAGAGAAUACCAAGGCGCUUGAGAGAACUCGGGUGAAGGAACUAGGCAAAAUGGUGCCGUAACUUCGGGAGAAGGCACGCUGGUGUGUAGGUGAAGCCCCUGCGGGUGGAGCUGAGACCAGUCGAAGAUACCAGCUGGCUGCAACUGUUUAUUAAAAACACAGCACUGUGCAAACACGAAAGUGGACGUAUACGGUGUGACGCCUGCCCGGUGCCGGAAGGUUAAUUGAUGGGGUUAUCCGUAAGGAGAAGCUCUUGAUCGAAGCCCCGGUAAACGGCGGCCGUAACUAUAACGGUCCUAAGGUAGCGAAAUUCCUUGUCGGGUAAGUUCCGACCUGCACGAAUGGCGUAAUGAUGGCCAGGCUGUCUCCACCCGAGACUCAGUGAAAUUGAACUCGCUGUGAAGAUGCAGUGUACCCGCGGCAAGACGGAAAGACCCCGUGAACCUUUACUAUAGCUUGACACUGAACAUUGAGCCUUGAUGUGUAGGAUAGGUGGGAGGCUUUGAAGCGUGGACGCCAGUCUGCGUGGAGCCAACCUUGAAAUACCACCCUUUAAUGUUUGAUGUUCUAACGUUGGCCCCUUACCGGGGUUGCGGACAGUGUCUGGUGGGUAGUUUGACUGGGGCGGUCUCCUCCCAAAGCGUAACGGAGGAGCACGAAGGUUAGCUAAUCCUGGUCGGACAUCAGGAGGUUAGUGCAAUGGCAUAAGCUAGCUUGACUGCGAGCGUGACGGCGCGAGCAGGUGCGAAAGCAGGUCAUAGUGAUCCGGUGGUUCUGAAUGGAAGGGCCAUCGCUCAACGGAUAAAAGGUACUCCGGGGAUAACAGGCUGAUACCGCCCAAGAGUUCAUAUCGACGGCGGUGUUUGGCACCUCGAUGUCGGCUCAUCACAUCCUGGGGCUGAAGUAGGUCCCAAGGGUAUGGCUGUUCGCCAUUUAAAGUGGUACGCGAGCUGGGUUUAGAACGUCGUGAGACAGUUCGGUCCCUAUCUGCCGUGGGCGCUGGAGAAUUGAGGGGGGCUGCUCCUAGUACGAGAGGACCGGAGUGGACGCAUCACUGGUGUUCGGGUUGUCAUGCCAAUGGCACUGCCCGGUAGCUAAAUGCGGAAGAGAUAAGUGCUGAAAGCAUCUAAGCACGAAACUUGCCCCGAGAUGAGUUCUCCCUGAGACUUUAAGUCUCCUGAAGGAACGUUGAAGACGACGACGUUGAUAGGCCGGGUGUGUAAGCGCAGCGAUGCGUUGAGCUAACCGGUACUAAUGAACCGUGAGGCUUAACCUU